CUUCGGGGUUCCUGGGUGUCACGCAGAUCUCGGUGGGACCUCCAAAUGAAAGAACUCAGUGGGGAAACCCCCACUCAGCUCCCGAUUCGGUGUGCACCCAAGAAUCACGAAUAGAACA
rnacentral:pre_miRNA from 7 species